UUACAACCCCCAAACCCCCCCUGGUUACGCCUAUGGACACAGUUACCAACACAAGAAUCUACAGGUCGAGCAAGUCUCGUAAAUUUCACGAUUGCGAGCCACGCUUCACGCAACCGUGUUUGCGUACUUGUGUUUCGAGUUGCGUGGUCGUGCGGAGUUAUAUUUACCAAAUUUAAAUGUAAUCGUUUCUACUGAUAAUAAUAUACUAUUCUCAAUAUGGCUACUGGGUGUAAAAGAUAAAUCUUAUUCUAUCUGUUCUUCAUGAGUUUUAGAUAAUUUUAGUUGUAUUUCUUUGUAAUUUUGUGUUGUACAAAGAUUAAUUUAACAUUUUCUCUGGAAGUAUUAAUUUAGAAAGAUAAUAUGCUUCAUUGGUGUUGUGUUUUGAAGUGUGAAAUGCAAAGUAAUUGUGAAGUCAAGAUAAAGUUCACUUUUAAACUGAACUAAAUAAGGUAUCUGAGAGACAACAAUGGUUAAAUGCAAUACAAUGUACAGGUUUUACUAGCGAAAUGAAAAUUUUCCUGUCCUGUCUGCUGUAAUCAUUUUAUAUCUGGUAAGUUACAAUUACAACAGUAACGAUUUUUGAAGAUGUUAACAUUUUAAUCUUAUAGGAAAAUAGGAAAACCAGCCGACUUAAUCGAUAAUAACAAUCUCCAGAUUGGGUUCCUUCAAUAAAUAUGGGCUAUAAACACAAUGAAAUAAGUUCCCCAAAAUCUAAAAUGGAGUGGUAUCAAAGGAGAAUUAAAGGAAAUAAUAUUCAUAUUGAAAUUAUUUAUAAGGCACUGGACUGUCUUAAAUUCUACAAUAAUACUAGAAUCAGCUGAGAGAAGUGGUCUACAAAAAACCAGGAAGGAAACGGAAUAUGUGGCUACGAAAGGCAAAAGAAAGGUUUACAAAGCAAAUGUGACACAUUUUUUUAAAAUAUUUAGGAAUAUCAGUAAAUUGCAUUAAAAAAUGUAUGAAAAGAUUUUGUUCAAUAAAAAUGUUUAUAUUUA